rnacentral:tRNA from 1 species
GUUAAGGUGGCAGAGUCCGGUAACUGCAAAAGAAUUAAGCCCUUUCUACAGAGGUUCAAGUCCUCUCCUUAACU